GUUAUUGAUAAACACAGAUUGGUAGUACUACAUGGAGUGAUGACGGAAUAGGAGUUCUUCAUUGGCCCCCCUGGAAAAACUUUCUUUUACAAGUUUGUUGUUGAUAGACCUUGCUCAUAUUUCUACUAUGGGAAUUAUGGGUCCAUACAGGUAGCAGUUCCUGAGCAAGCAUUAUUGCAUGAUGAUUAAGUACUUAUGAUAUCUCUACUGGUUUAGCUUCUAAACCGUGUGUUUGGGUUGGAGAACCUAAGUUUCGCAGUCACUAUUGAUUCAUGGAAGAGCAGGAUUCGUUGUUCCUGUGCAACCAAUGUCAUUUCAGAUUGUUGUAACGGGGCGAAGCCUGAAUGCGCUCCUUGUGUGAUAACUGUUGUUCAAGGGAAAACUAUUUGGUUUAGAAUUUCGAGCUUCGCAUCUUUAUCUGUGCUGAAUUUCGAAAUCAAGGGACAUAACAUGACAGUAUUAGAAGCCGAUGGACAUUUUGCUGAGCCAUUCAUUGCCCGACCUGAAUAUUUACCCCGCGGAACUUAUGUUGUAGUAGUGAAAACCGAAAAAGAUCCAUCCAAGAUUUAUUGGGUUGCCUUUAAUGUUAUUGGUGGAAAACCGGCAACACCAACCCAUUUAGCCAUCUCAAAUUACGAUCCUAACUAUAACCAUAAACCUCCAACAUCUACUCCGCCUGCAGUUCGCUUUUGGUCCUUGUGGAGCAAUUUCUCGUAGUCCACACAUCUUGACAGAAAUUAGGUGUUUCUUUUGUUACUAUUUUAUCUGCAAGAGCAUAUCUACUGGGAAAUCGUUUUUUUUCUUGUAGACAUAGGAUGGUUAUGAUGAGUAAAGCUGUUGGUGGCACGUGAUUGGGAAUAGAAGAAAGGUCAUGAUUGUUGCAGAGCCAUUUUGAGGUCUUCUUCAACUGUUCUUAUCAAAAUUGAUGAACAUUCAUUCAAAUGGUAGGACGGUUUCAGGCAUUCAUAUCCAAGAAAUUCUGAUUAUCAGGGUUGUAAGAAUGAUAGCAAUUCUUGAAGCUUCGCCGUCUUUUAGUAUUUGGUCGAAUUAUCAGGGUUGUAAGAAUGAUAGCAAUUCUCUGUAGGUACUACUUUCUCUUGUCUUUUUUGAAUUUUUAAUCUUUAAGUUUGGGUUUUGUAGAAGUGAAUAGGCGUGGAAAAUGUACCAGUAAGAGACUUUUGACUUUUUCACUAUCUUGUUGUCCCUGUGAAGAAACCAAACAUCAGAUCUCAGCAAAGAUCGCACAGUUGUCUGUACCAAACACCAAAGUCAAGCAACGCAACGCGCACACUCUUUAUCCUGUUAUAUCUUGGUUCAGUAUUUGCCAUCUACAGUUAUAGAAUUGAUAUGUAAUUGACUGUCACCGUGCUUAUGAUUUUCUUCCUUUUCUUUGCUACAGGUUCCCAAGAUGUUCAGUUUGGAGGCUCUAAUUCUUACUUGAAUACUGAGAAUAAAGACUGCGGAGGAAAGCUUUCAUGAAAUGAAAAGGGCACAGGCGGUUCUUUCCAUAUGUUGUUUUAGACUGGGCCUUUUAUUUUACCACCGAAAUUUUUAUUUGGUUUUGUAAGUUCUAUACCUCUUUUGAAAUUUAAAAGUGCUCAACAUUUUGGAAGUCUGAAUGAGAUACAAUUUUUAGAUCA